GAUGAACGCUGGCGGCGUGCCUAAUACAUGCAAGUCGAACGAAACUUCUUUAUCACCGAGUGCUUGCACUCACCGAUAAAGAGUUGAGUGGCGAACGGGUGAGUAACACGUGGGCAACCUGCCCAAAAGAGGGGGAUAACACUUGGAAACAGGUGCUAAUACCGCAUAACCAUAGUUACCGCAUGGUAACUAUGUAAAAGGUGGCUAUACUACCGCUUUUGGAUGGGCCCGCGGCGCAUUAGCUAGUUGGUAGGGUAAAGGCUUACCAAGGCAAUGAUGCGUAGCCGAAUUGAGAGGUUGAUCGGCCUCAUUGGGACUGAGACACGGCCCAAACUCCUACGGGAGGCAGCAGUAGGGAAUCUUCCACAAUGGGCGAAAGCCUGAUGGAGCAACGCCGCGUGGGUGAAGAAGGUCUUCGGAUCGUAAAACCCUGUUGUUAGAGAAGAAAGUGCGUGAGAGUAACUGUUCACGUUUCGACGGUAUCUAACCAGAAAGCCACGGCUAACUACGUG
rnacentral:rRNA from 1 species